GCUCUUUGUCUUGGUUGCCAGGACCCAGGCUUUGUCUUUGUAGGCAGGUGGUUCUGGAGGCAUGGGGCAGUCAUCUGCUCUCUGAUGGUCAACUCAGGUUUUCCCCGUGCCCAUCCUGGCCUGUCUGUCCUCAGAGGCGUCUCUGGCAGUGACCAUACCUCCUGCAUGGCUCAAGCUUUCAUCAGACAGGUCCCCAGAGCCUCUCAGCUCAUGUGGUGUGCCAGCUCCUGGAUUCUUUUGUCCGUGCAUGCCCAACCUGCAAUCCACGCCAUGAUGCCUCAGUGGAUUCCUUCUAAAAUGCUGAUCUUCUUUGAAACCUUCAGCACUGCCCCAUUACCCACAGGAAAAACCCAAGCCACACACAAGCCCUUUUAUAAUCUGACCCCUCCUAUCUGCCCAGUCAUCUGCUAUCAAUGCUUUUCUCUUCCCCCACCUCUGUCCUCCCGCAUGACAUUCUAGCACUUACAGUCCCAUUGGCUGCCUGGUGGAAGCCUGAUCAUCCUUUGGGUGCCUUUUUGAUGCAGGAGCACACUGGGGUCUGUAAAAGGAAAGCCUGGUGGCCUGCACCUGCAAGCUGCAGCGACUUACAGGAUGCUUCUGCAAGAGCGCAUGCCACAUGUCAUAGCUGUUACUCUGUUGCCUCCUUUGCCCCCAAAUGUUGCGCCUGGUGCAGGCAAGAACCCCAUCUUUUUGUCUUUCUGUGCCUUAACACAAUGCCAGAGCUAUAAUAACCACCCCAUAA